AUUAUUUUUUCACAAUCUAAACCUGAGACAAACUUUAAAAUAAAAUCCCCAAAUAUAAUACCCUCCGUCGCUACUCGUCUCAUCACCGUUCAAGCUUCGUCCGAUCGUCAUGAUUGUUACCUACCAGUGUGUACUCCUGGCCGUCGUGAUCAAAACCCACCCGAUUGAUCGUUGUAAAGGUCUGUCAUUCGUCGUGAAUCGACGUUUGAAGCUUCGUCUAAAAACCUAGCCAUCGUCAUUGUUUUUUGUCGCUUUCACGUCGAUUCCUAGCUCCGUUGGUCACACCGCCACCGCCAUUGAACUCCUCGAGUGAUUCCGACCAAAACUCGACCAUCGUUGUCACCUCACCGUCUCAUUUGCUUCGUCCACCGUUGGGCUUGGGGAGUAAUUGGCCAUUGUCCCAAUUGUUUUUGCCCGCCGCACAUGUCACACGCACCACCCCUUGCACGCGAGGGUUGUUUUUCGCCUUGGUAGUUUCCACAAUCGGUCUGGACCAAUCUAGACCUCCCGAACCAAUCGAACCGAUCUGGUUUGUGAUGAAUCGAGCCAAGCCGCGCCUGAGUCAAGCCAUUGAUCUGACCGUUGACCGAGCAUUGACUUUUUCAAGACCACCUAGUUUUUUUAUGUCUCGAGUCUGUUUUCCCGUCCGUUUCACCAAAUUCGAAAUUGGUUAAAGAAUCGAUCUUGUAUAAUAUCGACAUCAGUAUGGGAGUUCCUCUAGCAUUGCUUAUGAGUACGAUACAUGUAUGAUUAGGG